UAACCCCUCCAGCUUGCUGGGUCUUGGGCCUCGCCUCUGGGCGGGCCUUAAAAUCAGUGGCGGCCCUACUAGGCCCUAAGCGUAGUAACUUCUCUCGCUAUAGGGUCCCGGUAGGUGCUGGCCAGCAACCCCAUCUUUCUAAU
rnacentral:misc_RNA from 1 species